rnacentral:rRNA from 1 species
UACGAAGGGGGCUAGCGUUGCUCGGAAUCACUGGGCGUAAAGGGUGCGUAGGCGGGUCUUUAAGUCAGGGGUGAAAUCCUGGAGCUCAACUCCAGAACUGCCUUUGAUACUGAAGAUCUUGAGUUCGGGAGAGGUGAGUGGAACUGCGAGUGUAGAGGUGAAAUUCGUAGAUAUUCGCAAGAACACCAGUGGCGAAGGCGGCUCACUGGCCCGAUACUGACGCUGAGGCACGAAAGCGAUGG